rnacentral:rRNA from 1 species
UACGGAGGGGGCUAGCGUUGUUCGGAAUUACUGGGCGUAAAGCGCACGUAGGCGGAUUGGCAAGUUGGGGGUGAAAUCCCGGGGCUCAACCCCGGAACUGGCUUCAAAACUCCCAGUCUGGAGGUCGAGAGAGGUGAGUGGAAUUCCGAGUGUAGAGGUGAAAUUCGUAGAUAUUCGGAGGAACACCAGUGGCGAAGGCGGCUCACUGGCUCGAUACUGACGCUGAGGUGCGAAAGCGUGGGGAGCAAACAGG